GACAGAGGAUGCAAACGUUGCUCGGAGUUACUGGGCGUAAAGCGCGCGCAGGCGGUCUUGUAAGUCGGGUGUGAAAUCCCAGGGCUCAACCCUGGAAGUGCCCUCGAUACUGCGAGACUGGAGUACUGGAGGGGAGAGCGGAAUUCCCGGUGUAGAGGUGAAAUUCGUAGAUAUCGGGAGGAACACCAGUGGCGAAGGCGGCUCUCUGGACAGAUACUGACGCUGAGGCGCGAAAGCGUGGGAAGCAAACAGG
rnacentral:rRNA from 1 species